rnacentral:rRNA from 2 species
UCAGAAUUGAGUAUAGGGGCGAAAGACCAAUCGAACCAUCUAGUAGCUGGUUCCCUCCGAAGUUUCCCUCAGGAUAGCUGGUGCAUUAUAAUAUUAUGUUAAAUAAUCUUAUCUGGUAAAGCGAAUGAUUAGAGGCCUUAGGGUCGAAACGACCUUAACCUAUUCUCAAACUUUAAAUGGGUAAGAACCUCACCUUUCUUGAUAUGAAGGUUGAGGUUAUGAUAUAAUGUGCCCAGUGGGCCACUUUUGGUAAGCAGAACUGGCGCUGUGGGAUGAACCAAACGUAAUGUUACGGUGCCUAAAUUAACAACUCAUGCAGAUACCAUGAAAGGCGUUGGUUGCUUAAAACAGCAGGACGGUGGACAUGGAAGUCGUAAUCCGCUAAGGAGUGUGUAACAACUCACCUGCCGAAGCAACUAGCCCUUAAAAUGGAUGGCGCUUAAGUUGUAUACCUAUACAUUACCGCUAAAGUAGAUGAUUUAUAAUACAAUUUCGAUUGAAUUAUAAAUUUUGAAACUUUAGUGAGUAGGAGGGUACAAUGGUGUGCUUAGAAGUGUUUGGCGUAAGCCUGCAUGGAGCCGCUAUUGGUACAGAUCUUGGUGGUAGUAGCAAAUAAUCGAAUGAGACCUUGGAGGACUGAAGUGGAGAAGGGUUUCGUGUGAACAGUGGUUGAUCACGAGUUAGUCGGUCCUAAGUUCAAGGCGAAAGCCGAAAAUUUUCAAGUUUUAAUGC